rnacentral:rRNA from 1 species
GACGAACGCUGGCGGCGUGCUUAACACAUGCAAGUCGAACGCUGAAGCUUGGUGCUUGCACUGGGUGGAUGAGUGGCGAACGGGUGAGUAAUACGUGAGUAACCUGCCCUUGACUCUGGGAUAAGCCUGGGAAACUGGGUCUAAUACUGGAUACGACAUGUCACCGCAUGGUGGUGUGUGGAAAGGGUUUUACUGGUUUUGGAUGGGCUCACGGCCUAUCAGCUUGUUGGUGGGGUAAUGGCUCACCAAGGCGACGACGGGUAGCCGGCCUGAGAGGGUGAACGGCCAAAAUGGGACUGAGAAAAGGCCCAGACUCCUACGGGAGGCAGCAGGUGGGAAUAUUGCACAAUGGGCGGAAGCCUGAUGCAGCGACGCCGCGUGAGGGAUGACGGCCUUCGGGUUGUAAACCUCUUUCAGCACGGAAGAAGCGAAAGUGACGGUACGUGCAGAAGAAGCGCCGGCUAACUACGUG